rnacentral:lncRNA from 1 species
AUGGCUCUAUCAGCUGAAGAUCAGCAGUAUCAACUACAAACUUCUCCGUCAAAGCUAAUUUUCCAGUCUCCCUGGAGAAGAUUGGUUGUGUACACAUUCCUCUCCAGGCACCUGCACAGGAUGUGGGCACACUCAAGGACAGGAAGGCUUUCUGUUCCCCAAACAUGCAGGGGUACUCUAAUCCCAGGAACAAUGAGGGUCAGAUGGACCUUUCUGGGCCCUCCAACUGAGCACGUGAUAUUCUUCCCCUCAAAGCUGCAGCUUCUGGCAUUGUCUGGCACUGACAUUCACUUGGUGCUGCUGCUUCAGGAGAAAGGAAUUGUUUUUGAGGAGGCGAAAAAAAGCCCUCUGCCUUGGAUGAGGAUGUUCGGUGGGCCACCAUCUAACCAAGACACAUAGGCAUUGUACUGGAGCUCAAACUAUGUUGCUGGCUGCAAAAAGAUGACUGGCAGAAAAGAGAAUUUUGGCUAUUUUACUAGGGAAUUCCUGGCAUAAUGCAAAAGCCCAGACAGUGCAGUGACUAUAAAUCCUUGGGCAGUGAAUCACAACAUGUGUUCAGUGCAGCUCUACUGGACAUGCAGGGACUGGAAGACAUCUAAGACCAGAAGAUGAUUAUGCUUUGUUUGCUAUUCAGAUACACAGUGCCUGUGUAAUAAAAUUUCAUAUUCUAGGUGUAUUGGAAUUGUU